CAGUGGAAGUCGGAACAAGAGCAAAUCAACCCAAGCAAUGAACUCUUCGGGCUCCCAGGCUCCAGUCCAGUUACCCCCGCCCUUCGAGGCCGGAUCCCCCGAUCCCCGCACCACCCCAUGAUCGCCCAGCCGUUGACCUAGAGAGGCUCAGGUCCUUCAACCCGCCGCGCGUUGGAUUCCCGUUCCCCGCACCCUAGCCCCGCCAAGCCUCCGUCGAACUCAGGGCUGAAAAAUCCAAUUCUGCUGGGGUCACUGUUCGGGCCGAUAUCAACUGGAAAGACCCCAAGGGUCCCAAAGAAAAGAGAGGAGUGGAUGUUGCCCCGUCUGCGGGUCUUAAGAAAGUCAAAAGUUGACCUAAGCCGAAUCGACCAAGAAACAUUUCAACAGCUGUCAUCGUCGCUGUGGCCGUUUGAGACGCGGAGCACCUGGGCUACAGGACCAGUAGCGGCUGCAGCUGCUGCCUUCGCUGUGGCCCUCGCAGGUGUUAAAGAUCCUAAGCGCUCGCAGGUCCCGAGCUCCCCGCACAGCCAGGUGGAAGUUUGCGGGCUGCAGGGUAGGUGCGGGGGAGGGGGGUGGAGAAAGGUGACGGGGAGG
rnacentral:lncRNA from 1 species